CCCACUUCCUGACCUGGACAAGGGAAAAAGGUUUUUAAGACAGGACUGAAAUCAAGGCUUCCUCAGGGAGUCUUUUGACAUGUGAAUUCAUUUAUUUAUUUCCUUCCCCUCUUUCCAUUUUGCAGUGGUUUUUCCAGCGAGAUUAUGACAAGAAAUUUAAGCCAGCCAUGUGCUAACUGAUGUGAGGUUCUCUCUGACAGAUUAUUGGCAGUGGCUGAAAGACAGCAUGAAGAACUAUGGUGUCAUAUGUCUGCAGAGACGACCUUCCCUCUGUGUGCAAAUUACCUUUCCUCGCUGUUUGAGUCCUGCUGUUGGAACGCCAUACAACAUGGGAACAGGCUCCGGGAGCUCGCUGCUUUCAUCUCAUUCUUCACGGAGCCAAAGACAAAUUGGAACAGGCACCCUACAGGGGUUUUCUCUGCCAGGAGGACUCUUCUCAGCAAAUGAAAUGGACGUGUCCUGAUGGAAUGAAUUUCCACAAAGACCUGCUGCAGGGAAGGUUUCAGCUUUAUCAGAGUAGAAACCUGUCUGUCUUCAUGAAGUGUCCCUGAUAUGACCAACAGGACCAGGCCUACAGCAGGC